rnacentral:rRNA from 1 species
GGGUGUGAUCAUACCAGCGCUAAUGCAUCGGAUCCCAUCAGAACUCCGAAGUUAAGAGUACUUGGACGGGAGUAGUACUAGAAUAGGUGACCUCCUGCGAAGUCCUCGUGUUGCACCCC